GAGGGACAGGGAGGUUGAUGGUAAUCACACACCCAUGGCUACUGGGAAGACCAUGUGUGUGUUUAAAGAGAUAAUGUGCACCAGGUUUUGGGGAAGAUUCUGUGGGGUGUUUGUUCAGCGCACGGAAACCAUGCAGGUCAUGCCAGGCUAUGGCUUCCACAUCACCUGAGAAGAUGCUUUCUAAGUACAGGAUCCUUUAACUUGCAAGAAGUAGGGUUUCAGAGUCAUUCGUGCUGACAGCAGCCUUUUCAGGUGACCCACGGCAUGCGCGUUGAGGGCAAUGAGCACAACAAGACCCUGUGCAGCUGUUGAGUGAAGGUGGCAAACCUUUCUCGCUGCCCUUGAGUGUCAGAAUAGGGAGCCUCUGACCAUUUUAGAAUCCCAGUUUGGCCCAUUGGGAUUCCCCCGAUGGCCAUGCCCUUGACACCACUGAUGGUUGAUCUCUUGGCUUUGAAAUAUGGCCUCCUCUUGGCAGCUGCCAACUGGAAAGACCAGCUGGGUACUUUUUGGGCGGAUAGAUUAGGCUUGAGGGCAAGUGUGCCAUUUUGCUGCUUGACAUGGGUAACUAGGUAUAUGCUGUUGGUGCUUGUCGGUGCUGGAAUUUUCAGAUAUUUUCUGGAUGACAUACCCUGUAGUUCUCCAUUCUGGGAAACCUACUUGAUUUACACACACCUUGCAGACACCUAAAUGUGGCUCGCCUAGGAGAGAAGGCCUAAACAGGAAGGUUCUGAGGCUUAGCGAGGCCACACUCCACCCAAGCUCUUGUUCCCGCCCCAGCGUUGUUCUUUCUGAACUGAAAUCUGGGUGGAGCUGACCUUCUGAGCCACCCAGCUGAGGACCUUUCUCACAGCUGAGCUACAUUAUGGUGCCUGUCAGGUGUGUGUAAGUCAGCUAGAACUCCCGGAAUGGGGAAUUAUGGGAAAUCCAAAGAAUUUCCUCGCUAGGUGCUUCAAACUUGCAGGGGUAUAUGGCGUUAGACUGUAAGCAGCUCUGUGGUGAAGCUGGUACUCUAACCAAGAUAACUCAAGGCCAGGCCACAUUUAUGAUAAAUGCAGCGUUCCAUGUGUCAUUUGGCCUUGGUGGACUCAGAGUAGGGAAUCCUAAAUCACGGCAACGGGAAGGCUGCACCUCCUACGGAAAGUUGCUCUUCUGGACUACAGUUCCCAGAAUUCCUAACCGGCCUGGCUGGCCGAAGAUUUGCAAACGUAUAAAAUGUUUACGGUCUCACCUAACUGUGCCUGCCUGCCUUGGUUGCCUGUGGCAUGUCAAGAGCCUUACAAGCAAUACCCUCUGGUUUACAAACAUUUACUGGGUCACUUAA
rnacentral:lncRNA from 1 species